rnacentral:rRNA from 1 species
GUGGAUUAGAUACCCGGGUAGUCCACGCCGUAAACGAUGUCAACUAGCCGUUGGAAUCCUUGAGAUUUUAGUGGCGCAGCUAACGCAUUAAGUUGACCGCCUGGGGAGUACGGCCGCAAGGUUAAAACUCAAAUGAAUUGACGGGGGCCCGCACAAGCGGUGGAGCAUGUGGUUUAAUUCGAAGCAACGCGAAGAACCUUACCAGGCCUUGACAUCCAAUGAACUUUCCAGAGAUGGAUUGGUGCCUUCGGGAACAUUGAGACAGGUGCUGCACGGCCGUCGUCAACU